UACAGAGGUGGCAAGCGUUGUUCGGAAUUACUGGGCGUAAAGGGCGCGUAGGCGGCCUACUAAGUCAGACGUGAAAUCCCCGGGCUUAACCUGGGAACUGCGCUUGUUACUGGCAGGCUUGAGUGUGGCAGAGGGGGGUGGAAUUCCACGUGUAGCAGUGAAAUGCGUAGAGAUGUGGAGGAACACCGAUGGCGAGGGCAGCCCUCUGGGCUAACACUGACGCUCAUGCACGAAAGCGUGGGGAGCAAACAGG
rnacentral:rRNA from 1 species